UUUGUGGCGAAGAAGCAUUUU
rnacentral:piRNA from 1 species